GACGGAGGGUGCUAGCGUUGUUCGGAAUCACUGGGCGUAAAGGGCGCGUAGGCGGCCUUGCAAGUCGGUUGGUGAAAGCCCGGGGCUCAACCCCGGAGGUGCGGCCGAGACUGCAGGGCUGGAGGCCGGAAGAGGAGGGUGGAAUACCCAGUGUAGAGGCGAAAUUCGUAGAUAUUGGGUGGAACACCGGUGGCGAAAGCGGCUCUCUGGUCCGGACCUGACGCUGAGGCGCGAAAGCGUGGGGAGCAAACAGG
rnacentral:rRNA from 1 species